rnacentral:RNase_P_RNA from 1 species
UAGCUUGGCCAAUUGCUGCGAAUUUCGUAGAGGAAAAUCCCCACUGGCACUUUCUGAGAUGAAAGUAGUGUUCAUGCUGAAUCUAAUAAAUUCAGGUAGUAAUAAAUACUAACAACUAGUGACACAGAAACAAAGUCUGCUAUUUAGCAAGAGUGAAAAGGUUAAACUUCAUGAGUCAGAAACAAAAAUUAUGGUAUUGGAGCCCGAAAAAGGGAAAUGAACUAAUUUCGGGAGAAUAUCUUAUUCUAGAUAAAUAAUUGGCGCCUUUAUAGGUACAAAAAGGGGUUUAUAGAG